GUCGAACGAUGAACCCUUCGGUGGGGAUUAGUGGCGAACGGGUGAGUAACACGUGGGCAAUCUGCCCUUCACUCUGGGACAAGCCCUGGAAACGGGGUCUAAUACCGGAUAACACUCUCACGGGCAUCUGUGAGGGUUAAAAGCUCCGGCGGUGAAGGAUGAGCCCGCGGCCUAUCAGCUUGUUGGUGAGGUAAUGGCUCACCAAGGCGACGACGGGUAGCCGGCCUGAGAGGGCGACCGGCCACACUGGGACUGAGACACGGCCCAGACUCCUACGGGAGGCAGCAGUGGGGAAUAUUGCACAAUGGGCGAAAGCCUGAUGCAGCGACGCCGCGUGAGGGAUGACGGCCUUCGGGUUGUAAACCUCUUUCAGCAGGGAAGAAGCGAAAGUGACGGUACCUGCAGAAGAAGCGCCGGCUAACUACGUGCCAGCAGCCGCGGUAAUACGUAGGGCGCAAGCGUUGUCCGGAAUUAUUGGGCGUAAAGAGCUCGUAGGCGGCUUGUCACGUCGAUUGUGAAAGCCCGAGGCUUAACCUCGGGUCUGCAGUCGAUACGGGCUAGCUAGAGUGUGGUAGGGGAGAUCGGAAUUCCUGGUGUAGCGGUGAAAUGCGCAGAUAUCAGGAGGAACACCGGUGGCGAAGGCGGAUCUCUGGGCCAUUACUGACGCUGAGGAGCGAAAGCGUGGGGAGCGAACAGGAUUAGAUACCCUGGUAGUCCACGCCGUAAACGGUGGGAACUAGGUGUUGGCGACAUUCCACGUC
rnacentral:rRNA from 1 species